ACCUGGCCUGACCAGAAAACACAGUAUUGACAGCAACUUUGCUUGAGUCCAGGUACUCCUUUCAGUGCAUGGAAUUUGCAAAGGACAUUAACUUUGAUAAAAACAAUAUGAGUUACAUUUCACUUUUUUAUUUUGCUCACUUUUGAAGUUGUGUCACAGAUCGUCGGUCAAACUAAUUUGUCCUGUCUCAAUACCAAACUACUCUACAGUUGGGUGUUUUUUGUUGAAGCCUCACGACUCUUGGUUCUGAGCUUGUUGACCUGAGACUCAGCGAUGUCGGCACGCUCCUCAGCCUCCUCCAGCUCAUGCUGAACCUUCCUGAACUUGGACAUGUGGGAGUUGGCCUGCUCCUCCUGGGAAGAUUUGGGGGGAAAACAAGUGAGGCACAAUUUCAACUAAUUUAUAAUAAAAAUUGGGCCAUGUGUGAUAUAAUUAGAUAGGGCAUGAAAACAUUAUUUACAAAGCCACCAAAAUAAUAAACUGGGAAUAUAA